rnacentral:rRNA from 1 species
UACGGAGGGUGCAAGCGUUAUCCGGAUUCACUGGGUUUAAAGGGUGCGUAGGUGAGUUGGUAAGUCAGUGGUGAAAUCCCCGAGCUUAACUUGGGAACUGCCAUUGAUACUAUCAGUCUUGAAUAUUGUGGAGGUUAGCGGAAUAUGUCAUGUAGCGGUGAAAUGCUUAGAUAUGACAUAGAACACCAAUUGCGAAGGCAGCUGGCUACGCAUAUAUUGACACUGAGGCACGAAAGCGUGGGGAUCAAACGGG